rnacentral:rRNA from 1 species
UACAGAGGUCCCGAGCGUUGUUCGGAUUCAUUGGGCGUAAAGGGUGCGUAGGCGGCUUUCUAAGUUUGAUGUGAAAUCCUGGGGCUCAACCCUGGAACUGCAUUGAAUACUGGGAGGCUAGAGAACUGGAGAGGAGACUGGAAUUUACGGUGUAGCAGUGAAAUGCGUAGAGAUCGUAAGGAAGACCAGUGGCGAAGGCGAGUCUCUGGACAGUUACUGACGCUGAGGCACGAAGGCCAGGGGAGCAAACGGG